rnacentral:rRNA from 1 species
ACGCUCGACACCUACGGGGGCAGCAGUCGGGAAUAUUGCGCAAUGGAGGAAACUCUGACGCAGUGACGCCGCGUAUAGGAAGAAGGUUUUCGGAUUGUAAACUAUUGUCGUUAGGGAAGAGAAAGGACAGUACCUAAGGAGGAAGCUCCGGCUAACUACGUGCCUGCAGCCGCGGUAAUCUGAGCGGGCUGGCAAGGC